UCCACUCUCGCUCGAUUUGGUUUUUGCCGACCGCCCUUUCUGGUUUUUGGUUUUUGGCUUCAUCUUUAGCAAGUCCAAGUUGCUGCCAUCCUUGUUCCUUGAUCCUUCACCUUUUUGGGCCUUCCCUUAUCAAGUGACUGAUUGAAGAUUUCAAUGGCAAGUGAACCGUCUUAUCUCCUGCAUCUUUCCUUCCAUCUGAACCCCCCUUUGUUGUUGUUGAAGACUGUUUGUUGUUGUUUUUAUCUAGUUAAAUACUGUUAAUGAUUUGUUGUUAUUUGCUCAAAGAUUAUUUAUUGUUGUUUUUAUCUAUGUUUUUAAUUGUUUA